UACGUAGGGACCAAGCGUUGUUCGGAUUUACUGGGCGUAAAGGGCGCGUAGGCGGCAAUUCAAGUCAUCUGUGAAAUCUCCGGGCUUAACCCGGAACGGUCAGAUGAUACUGCUUUGCUAGAGUGCGGAAGGGGCAAUCGGAAUUCUUGGUGUAGCGGUGAAAUGCGUAGAUAUCAAGAGGAACACCUGAGGUGAAGACGGGUUGCUGGGCCGUAACUGACGCUGAGGAGCGAAAGCGUGGGGAGCGAACAGG
rnacentral:rRNA from 1 species